GAAAAUUGUCUGCUAAUUAGAUAGGUUAGGAAACGUACUACUAGUAAACACUAGGAACUGUUUUAAAACUCUUCGAUGGAUACACCAUAGAAGUAAAAGUUUAUUCUACAAAUAUUGUUUUAUUCUAACCCUCGUGGUACAUAGGAGGAGAGAUCCUGAACCAUCACCUCGAACUAUCCCUAUUGUUGGUAACUUUUUGGAUGUCUUACCCACGAAACUAACGAGAUUGCUGCCCAGGCGAGAUGUUAAAUGCUCCAUCAAUGUAGUUCUUAGAACUCAACCCAUUAACAUACCCUCAGGACAAAUGAACAAGAUUGAGUUUCGAGAACUGCAUCGCCAACUCUUGGCAUUACAGAAGAAGUUUAUCUA
rnacentral:lncRNA from 1 species